CCCGAACUCCCGAAGGACGCCGGACCCCGCCCUAACGGGGCGGGGCCGGGUGUUCGGGAUUCCCGGAUGGGCC
rnacentral:tRNA from 1 species